rnacentral:rRNA from 1 species
GAUCAUGGCUCAGGACGAACGCUGGCGGCGUGCCUAACACAUGCAAGUCGAGCGGAGACAGUGAGUAGCUUGCUAUGAGCUGUUUUUAGCGGCGGACGGGUGAGUAACGCGUGAGCAACCUUUCCCAGACAGGGGAAUAACACACCGAAAGGUGUACUAAUACCGCAUAAGACCACGGGAUCACAUGGUUCUGGGGUAAAAGAUUUAUCGGUUUGGGGUGGGCUCGCGUCCGAUUAGGUAGUUGGUGAGGUAACGG